GGAGGGUGCAAGCGUUAUCCGGAUUCACUGGGUUUAAAGGGAGCGCAGGCGGAUUAGUAAGUCAGUGGUGAAAGCCUUAAGCUUAACUUGGGAACUGCCAUUGAUACUAUUAGUCUUGAAUGUUGUUGAGGUUUGCGGAAUGGGUCAUGUAGCGGUGAAAUGCAUAGAUAUGACCCGGAACACCUAUUGCGAAGGCAGCAGGCUAAACAAAUAUUGACGCUGAGGCUCGAAAGCGUGGGGAUCAAACAGGAUUAGAUACCCUGGUAGUCCACGCCCUAAACUAUGAUUACUCGACAUAUGCGAUACACUGUAUGUGUCUGAGCGAAAGCAUUAAGUAAUCCACCUGGGAAGUACGACCGCAAGGUUG
rnacentral:rRNA from 1 species